CUGCUUUGCAUGAUGUUGCUCGUCGUUUACUAUUAGAAGCUAAGGCAGCGCAAAAGACUCAAGCCGACCGUCAUAGACAAGCAGGGGAAGAGUUGGAAGAGGGGGAUUUGGUAUGGUUGUCUUCUAAGUACAUUAAACAGGCUGGGGGAAAGUUUGCGCCGCGGUAUUUGGGACCUUUUCCUAUUGUUAAAAAGAUUUCUUCAGUAGCAUUUCGUUUGCGUUUGCCUUCUACUUUUAAGAUCCAUCCUGUUUUUCACCGUUCUUUGUUAAAGUUAGAUACCUCUGGACGUCGUGGUGCUGUAGCUGAAGACAUCACUGCUGUCUCUCCACCUUUGGAGGAGGAGGCCUUUGUGAGAGGGGAUAGUGUUAUGGUUGAGCCUUAUGGCUCCGAUACUGGGAGACGUGGUCGUAAGACUCCUCGGGAGUCAGAUACUCUCGAGGAGCGAGAAAGGAAGCGGCUGCGGGACUUAUUUGCAGAACCAUCUGACGAGGAUUCCUUUGAGGGUUUUACUGAGAGAAUGGAGGAAGAGAUGGUUAGCUCAGAGGAGGAUGACAUGGAAUGGACUCGUGUGAGGGAGGAUUUGGGUGCCAUUGGCAAUGAUAGUAUGGAAGGCGAUUGGGGACCUUCAGGAUUAGACCCGUGGACAAGCUGGAGGGAUGGGACGGGAUCCACAGCUGGGGAUGCUGUGGGGCGUAGUCAAAGGUGUUUCAGUUCUGAUGAGGAAAGUGAUGAGGAAACGCCUGGAAUUAGGGUAACAGCUGAUAGCGAUGAGGAGCUGUAAACUGGCAUAAAAUGGGGUUUGGAAGCAAUGGCUAAUUGCGUUGGGCAAGGUAAUCUGGACGAACGCUUGGGCUCUGUGUGGGAAAUUCCUGAAGACGGGUGUGAUUCGUUUGCUGACUACCUUGGACCUCCGUCGUCUUCUUGACGGACGCCAUCUGUUUAUUCUGGACUGACUGACUGACUGACUGACUGACUACGGCCUCGGACUCUCCUUCCUGUGAUUAUCGUUGGACCUGGUGAACUACAAACGUCUGUACCUGCCUUACGACCUUCGGACCGGAUUGGAACUUCGCUGACCGCUUCUGCCCUUGAAUGCUGCGUUUGUAUCUGGAAAUUGCUUGCUGUGUGGAGGAGUAACCUCUUAGUUACUCAAACAUAGCUUUUGGCAGCAGAGAAGCAUCUGCUGCCAGUUUUUUGUAUUCCUUUGAACCUUUUGUUCACCAGCUUUUGUUUGUUUUAGUCCCAGGCUGAAGUAAGCUUUUUUGGUUUGACCCGGAUUAAACUCCGGUUUAAUCCGGUUUAUCUUUUGAACGUUUUCCUUGUGUCUUUUUACUUUUAAGGCCAAUGUUUGCCUAGCCCUUGUCUUUUACGGGCAUUUUUGGUUCUGUAACUCCAAUAAACUUUGUUAUAUCUUA